rnacentral:rRNA from 1 species
AUUGAACGCUGGCGGAAUGCUUUACACAUGCAAGUCGAACGGCAGCACGGUGGCAGCCCUGGUUGCUAGUGGCGAACGGGUGAGUAAUACAUCGGAACGUGCCCGGUCGUGGGGGAUAACGUAGCGAAAGUUACGCUAAUACCGCAUACGAUCUGAGGAUGAAAGCGGGGGACCUUCGGGCCUCGCGCGAUCGGAGCGGCCGAUGUCAGAUUAGUUAGUUGGUGGGGUAAAGGCCUACCAAGCCGACGAUCUGUAGCUGGUCUGAGAGGACGACCAGCCACACUGGGACUGAGACACGGCCCAGACGCCUACGGGAGGCAGCAGUGGGGAAUUUUGGACAAUGGGCGCAAGCCUGAUACAGCCAUCCCGAGUGCAGGACGAAGGCCUUCGGGUUGUAAACUGCUUUUGUACGGAGCAAACAGGUUCUGGCUAAUACCUGGGGCUCAUGACGGUACCGUAAGAAUAAGCACCGGCUAACUACGUG